rnacentral:lncRNA from 1 species
UGAACUUCAUUGAGCACUUGAAACACAUAACAUACACAACUGAGGUGCAAAGCUGCGAAUGUUGAUGGAUCAAAACUGUAGAUUUUGCAAGCACUUAAUAGCUCAAUGUCAAAAGAACAUCCAUACAUGCACGAACUUUCUAUAGGAUGUUCUAAAGUUCAACUUGUAAAAGUAGAACUUGUGUAGCUUUGUCAGCAACACAAAAAUCUAUAGAAAAAUGCACCCGUUCUCAUGGGCGUAUCAACAAGCAUGUUCAGAGCACAAUUUCUUCUGGCCUUGUCCACAGAGAAACAAGUUGAGUUCCUCUUCUUUUUCUCCUCGAUGAACCACAUAGACUUGAACUCGUUCUGGCUGUCCACAUCCGACACCUUCCAGGAGACGAAGUUGUGGUCGAGUGGCCACAACCUUGGGCGUUUCCUCAGCAACUCGUGCACCGGCCUGGGAUGUGUUUGAGGUGAGACGCCCGCACGACCACACAUAGACAACACCGAAAUGUGAAGCAUGGUCGCGGCCACGCACGCACGAACACAACACACACAUAUGCGCAGUGAGCGACUCAAUGAAGAUGUGCAUCUACACGGUCACAUGGCUUCCCGUGGAAGGUGCAGCCCACUAUCGGCGGUGGUCCAUGGAGGGGAUUGAGGGAGCAGUUCGAAGGCGGGGAAUCAACGAGGUCGCAGCAGUAAAUCGGCAUGGUGGGGGCAACAUAUUCAGACCUGUCAAUUGUUAAGACAAAUAUGUGAGUUCAAAGCUAACUUAUGGUUUAGUAUCAUCAUAUUCAGAGUGAAUUUAGUUGCUCAUAGUUAGCAUGAGUUCAUGGCAGAAAAAGGUGAUACUCGAGAUAUUGAACUAAACUAAAAUUAUAUAUUGCACUUAACUAAAAUUAUAUAUUGAACUGAACCAAGAGGCAGUACGGUUCUCAUUCUGAAGCAUAACCACAUGCACUUGUUUGUGCUAUAUAUGAAGAUGGAAACACAAAGGAAAUAUGACUCACCUUCAGGAAGUAGAUGUACUAAAAAGCAUACAAAAAAUGAACUUGUGCAUCAUGUUUUUGCCGCAACCUACAAAAGUAGGAACAAAUAUGAGAGAUGAUGUUUUGUCAAGGAGAACUUACCAAGGUCUGGCAUUCGAACUUUCAAAUUUUUGUGCUAUUGAAAAUAGAGAAUAAGAGCAUGCCUCAACCAGAUCGGCGACUUCCUCGGCUCUGUGGGCGGCCUCUCAUACAGCUUGAGGGCAACAUAAUACACACACCAACUAACCAGAAUACACAACACGGCCGGCUAGAUACACAAACAGAUAAUUAAUAUAACAAACAUGUGGAAUUGCAAUGCUGAGAGCAAAACUACAUAUUGUAAUUUCAACAAAGAGAAGAGCAGAUUCCUUUUCCAUGAACAAACAGUACAAAUCUAAUCUCAGUCCCUUGAAUUCUACAUAAAUUUAUUCCAUUUAUAAACCCGAACUGAAAAUCAAAUAAAAGCUUAACUCCUUCACAAAACCACCAAAUGCACACACUUUGUUACUGCACAUGAAGGUAAGGAAAUACUGAAACCAGCAACUCUUGAGUAUGAACUGAGGUAAAUGUUUUCGCUGAACUUUUUGGUGAGUGCAUGAUUUACUUUGGCUUGCCCAGCUCUCUAAAAUCCUCAAAAAAUUCUACCCAUGCACAACUACUUGUUCAUGCACAUGCUCUCGAUGUUCUUGUUCUCGCACCAAAAUCUCAGUACAGAAUAACGUCAAAGGUUGCAGCUUCCUAAAUUCAUGAACUGUCAGUACAAGAGCGAAAGUACAGGGGUGUGUUUCUUCACUGCUUGGUUUAUAGGAUACAAACCAGGAACUGAAUUAUGUAGUUAUGUUUUCUUCCCUCAGAUUUGAAUCAAGUGCAGCACUAGUUAAAUUCAAAAUAAAUUGACAGUACAAAUCAUAGACACGGAGAUCUUCACCAUGCGGAGCUGGAAAGGAGAGAUUCAAACAAGAUGUGACCAUGCAGGUAGGCCUCGCGCCAAAUAGACGGUGGCUAAUCCUCACAAUGAUGGCUGCUGGAGCAGGCCAAGCGUCGACAGCGCUACUCCAGGGAGCUUACAAACUUUUGAAACAUGAACUUAAUCUAUUGUUUUAACUAUUGUUUUUAUUUUUUGAACUCUAAUAAAAAAUUGGGUAGCAAUCUGUCAUAUUAUAUUAUAAAACAAAACUCAGUAAGCAACUAGUAUUGCAUUAUAAAACACUCAGUUCAGUCUAGUAUAGAUAAGUACAAUAGUAGAUAGUAAAAUGCACCUUGAAGAUCUCACUGCCGGUGUGCGCAUCGAUGGUGCUGAAGACGUCGUCAAGGAGUUAGAUGUCGCAGUCCUGGUAGACGACGCGGGCGAGCUGAAUGCGCUGCUUCUGGCUGCUGCUGAGGUUGAUCCCGCACUCGCCGAUCUACAUAUGGUUGUCGUCUCCGCUACUUCAAACUCCACAAUCUAACAUCUAAAAUAAUUAGCUGCAAUUUUUUAUUUCUUUUCACUACACUGAUGUGCAAUAUACAUCUUACCAACUACACACAAAGACAUAAGUUUGACAUUUAACAUCAAUCCCUCUCAGCAUUCAUUGAUCACAUUUUUUUGAGCAUUACAUCUGUUAAAAAAUUGAAGAGCAAAUCCCGAGAGCUUGAACUUCACAAUUAGAAGAAAUCUAGUCUUUUACAAUAGCAUAUAUAUAGUAAUUUGUAUGCCAAGUAACUUCAAAACAGAACAGAAAUGAACUUUUUGCAAGAAAAGAAUAGAAUAUAUGCUACUUCUGAUCCAAACAAGGUCUCUCAUAGGAAUAACAACAAACAACUUGAGGGCCCUCAUGGCAACAACAAGAACAAGCAACAAAUUUGAACGAAUUUGAGAGAGGAGAGAUAUUCAGCAGCAGGAAUGUUCAGACUGCUGUUUAGACAAUUAUUUGGACAGCUACCAAACUGUCGUUUAGACAACUACUUGGACUGCUGAAUACGUAUAACUCUUUGCCCUUAGUAAACUACAGUUUAUUAGUACAAACUUAUAACCUUUGCCUCAAUAAACUGCAGACAACAACUAUGAACUCUUCCCUCGGUAACAACAAUUCACAAUGGGCCUGGAAGCUAGAAAUUAGAUAACUAGUACUGAAUUCAGCAGCAGAAAUGUUCGGACUCACGGUGUUAUUUAUUGUGUUUGUUUGUAAGCAAGGUUCUAACGUUAAAAGAAACAAAAAUGGAAGAUUUUUUAUGUGUGCUUGCUCACCGGUGGCGGUGCCGAGGCAGUAGGUCUUGUCGUAGAGCCUGUAAAUGUGGGAGUGGGCGGCGGUCUCAAAGAAGGUGAGCACCAACCUCUUUUGUGCUUUGUAGUGAGUAGGCUCCAAAUAAAAAUGGAUGACCACGCGGGAGGUUGCAUAUGGAUGAACUAAUGACCCAUUUUUUCUCAUACUGAAGCUUCUCUGUACUGAAGCUUGUUUCCAGAAAUCAUAUCAGUGGGUCAUUAAACACAUGCAGCAACAUCUAAAGAGGAACAUGAGAAAAAGAGGACGCCGCUAUACAAGAACUACAGUGGACAAACCAAUAAUAUAAAUCCUCAAGCAAUAAUUGAGAGAGCUCACAAUCUCCAUGGAAGAUGCAUAUGCAUUCACCGUGGAAGGGCCUCCCACGCCCCUGCUCUAUCUCCUCCCACUCCCUGCACACACACACGGAGCAGAGAGAGAAUGAGAGGGAGAUGACUGAGGCGGAUAGAGGACGGAGCAUAGGGUGGCCUGCACGCAGCUUUUCUCGUGCCCGGCUAUGGAGUGUGAUGUUGUACUAAUGAGGCAAAGGUCCAAAUAUAUCACCUAAGUAAGUUCAAAGAAUUUUACAAAAACAAGCAGGC